UACAGCCAUAUCAUAUCAAAACACUGGUUCCUGUAUGAUCAGUGAAGUUAAGCAACGUCCAGCUUGGUCAGAACUUAGAUGGGUGACUGCUUGGGAACACCAGGUGCUGUAAG